rnacentral:lncRNA from 1 species
UUUUUCCACCACUUUGUGUAUGCUUUGUGCUAAAGAUUGAAAUUAGUCAACAAGGAUCCAACGAAAGUAUGUUGAAGGCACUUUUUACAUUUUCUCUAGGGACAGUGUUUGGGAUAUUUCUUUGUGGGAGGACACAAAAUUGUUUACAGUGUGGAGGGCUUUCCUCUAAGAAUGAUGCUAACAAGAAAGUCCUUGCUAUCCGAUCCUCAGUGGAGACAAAAAAGCCAGAAUGAUGAAUACAUAUCCCAUAUUUUAAUGAAAAUCUUUACAUAUCGAAUUUACAGGANCAGGAUUUAAAUUAUCUAUGAAGUUCUAUGGUUACAAUUGAUAUUGGUAUAUAGAUAGGGUCAGGGAAAGAGAUAUAAUAUAUAGAUUGAGAUUGAACUUCUAACUCAUAAUUAUUAAUUAUGCUUGUAUUAUUCAAGAAUUACAUGCUGGAUUUAUAAUGUUAAGAUUGUGAAUUAUGUUUAUAGCGUGUUUUUGCUUAUGCGUUAGGCAUUGAAAAUAAGAU